UGAAAGACCUGUUCUCAUGCGAUCACUGCAGUUAAGCAACAUUGAGCCUAGUCAGUACUUAGACGGGUGACUGCUUGGGAAUACCAAGUGG